rnacentral:ncRNA from 1 species
UUGAUAUAAUAAACAAAGCUUGUUACAGAAAAAGUCUGUAAUAGCAAAGUUCUUUAAUAUUCCCCGGUAGCUCAGUGGUAGAGCGCUCGCCUGUCGAUUGGCAGCUCCCAGCAGGAAUGUUGGGAUGAAAAUUGGGUGAAUUCAGGGAAACCUAAAACUUUGGUAAUGGCAACCCUGAGCCGAGCUCCGGUGUUACACCGGAGAAGGUGCAGAGACUAGGUGAUUACACCAAUUAGCACCCAACCGCCCACCAUUCCGAUUAAAUCGAAAUGAGGCGGAUGAGAUAGUCCACGCCAUUUGGAAACAGAUGG